GAAGUGCAGCAGUGAUCCCAUGGAGGUGUCACAGCAGGAUGGGCUGGAGCCUGAGGCUGUCAGGGCACAGCUGGAACAUGUGUAGGGUGCCAAGCAGAGGAAACUGAUGUGCAGCUGGCUGGAGAGUCACACUGCAGAUUUAAACUUCAAGCAUCAUGUGAAGCUCAAGAAAUUGGAAAUAAGCCAGGCUAAAGAUGUUCCUUCACAAGUCCAAUGGACAGUACUGUAAACUACCAACAAACUUCAGAAAUGAACUCUUUAAAUCCUCAAUCACGACUUCAAAAACUGUCUGUGAAAAAGACUAUCCAAAUCCUGAUUUCAAACAUGGAAUCCAGAGAAGGAGGCACAUGUUUUUAAAGGUACAGCAGGGAGAGUCUGUAUCUGCAUGUAAAAACUAGCAUUCUUUGAAUAAAUCUUAGGACAGCUGACAUUCACACAUACCACUUUACUAAAUGACAUGUGAAACAAAAUGUCUCUCAAAUGAAUGCUCUCUAGUCUGCUUUCCUUAGGAAUUUCAGAGGAAAAGAGAAGGUGACUGUCAUCUUUGUUUCAGAGAACUUAGGUCUGGACACUGAUAUCCUCCCUCUGCAAUCCUUGUUUACUCUUGCCAUUGUAUGCCUUCAGUUCUAGAAGAAGUCCUUUUUUUCAAGCAUUGAAAUAUUUGAUUUCUGUUUUUGGACACAGACCAUAAUGAUUCUUCCCCCUGUAUUUCUGCAGUGCAAAGCUGCUGAUUUAUAUGCACCACAGGCUCUAUGACAGUGUAAGAGAGGGCAGUGAGGUUAGGAUCCGAAGAGAAUAGAGCGAUCAUUAUCUGAGUUACUGGAUAAUUUCACAAAAUUAACAAUUCUGGUGUUGAUACUACAUUUCUGCUGCUAUGAUUCAACAAUGAACUCUGGAGAAGCAGGAUAGCUACAGAGGCAGGACUGCUGCUGCGGCCUUAAAAUGAAACCCUGCGGACAAAUUCUUCUCAAGAGUCACCCUCGUCUUCUCGCGAGCUGCAGUGAUCCCAAGCCCUCAGGCUCUGAGCACCUUGUGAAAGCUUUUCCUCAGGACACUGCCUCCCUCCCAGCCACAGAGGAUAUUAAAGCUGAAAUAUCUGGACUGCAAAGCUGCUACUGGGCCAACAGGAAUUUCCCUUAAUUAAUUACAGUACCUCACAAGUUCACAUAAAUACAACGCUGUCUAAGAGAAUAAUGAAAGCAGAACUGUGCAUUUUUUUUUUCCUCUUGCAGUAAGGAAAUAAUGCAUUUAGGUCAUAAUUUUUAAUAGAGAUAUACAAAUGGUACUAAUUCCAAUGUGAAAAAACCCCCAAUUUUCCUUUCAGCAUAUGUACUGAAGUUUACAGAAAUCAAAGGCCUAAAACCAAUACCCUCUGAUAGAUUCUUUUUGUAACAGCAAGAGAAAACCAUUUGCAAAAAAAGCAGAUGCUUCAUGCUAUUGUAGAUGACACUCAAUCACAAAGAGUCAUAGAAUAUUCUGAGUGGGAAGGCACCCACAAUCAUCAUAGAGUCUGGCUCCUGGCCCUGCACAGGGCAGCCCCCAAUAUCUCUUUUUUCUCACAAAAGGGAAAAAAGCAUCUUAAAGCAACAGUGGUACAGUUUUAGUUAAUGACCACAAUACCCACAAAAACUGCUGUAGCAGUAGAGUGUUCAUCAAAAAUUUGCAAAUUGAUGGCUGACUUACAAAUAAAAUAUUGAAGUCAUCAAGCAAAUUGUUCUAAAGAAGCCAUCUACCCAAAUUCUGAUGAUGCAGUAGGAAAUAGGCUACAGAAAAGCUGAGCCACAGAGACUUGGUAAAUUUUCUGCCCCAUUAACUCGCAGCGAGUUCAUCUUUGGGAUGAAAUCUUGACACUGCUGAAGGCCUGAUUAUGCUAAAAUAAAUGUGGUCAGAUAGAGAAAAUGUUCAUUACAAAUUCAAUGCCUGAUCCAAAAGGGUUUGGAUCAGACCUCUACACUUACAGUUCAAGGCUUCAGACUCCUUAAAGGCAGAAAAAUCAAACUUACCAUUCAGGUUUUCAUUUUCUUGUCUGUUUCUGAUAGUUUCUCUCAGGGGAUGGACUUUUUCCUGUAAGUAAAAAAACAAGCAUAAAACCAGCAGCAGAAAUCAGUAAUGGAAGUUUACUGUAGCAAUAGUAAGACACCAUAACAAGCUGAAUUCUUUAGCAUUCUGAACAGCAAGCAUCUCUCUCCUGGAAAAUAAUUUUAAAAGACUGAAAAAUGUUUAUGAUGCUAAUUUUAGCAUUUUUACCAAAGACUCUUGUGGAGUUAUCCCCACCUGUAGUAAGUUAAAAUGAUUCUGGCCUUAGAUUACAGAGUCUUGGGUGUUCUUUUCUGUUUGUUUGGUGGGGUUUUUUUGGGUUUUUUUUUGGUUUUUUUUGGAAAAGCAAUUUUUCCUCAAAAAUCCAAGCGAAGGACAAAAAACUGCAGUGACAGCAUGAAGUCAGUUAAUCAUGUUUACAGAGGACUAAGAAGAAAAGACUUUUCUAUGGAGCAAAACCAAAGAAAAGUCACACAUGCAAUGCAGGGUAAAAGCCACCACUACAAAGCAGCUUUUUUCCUGAAGCACUGAAAACAGGCCAAGUCAAUCUUCCUUGAAAUAUGGGUAUGUUACAGUUCACCAAGAAAAAAAAGAUUUAAAACUUGGGGCUGCUAUCAUGGUACAGAUUAGAUAUGAUCUUCCUCCACAAGCAUUGCCCCUGACUGAGAGCAGUACCAGCAAUUCAUCUGCAUGCUUGGCUCCAGAUGGAUUUGGAAGGUGGCAUCCUAGUGCUGUACUGCCAGUGCCCAGCUUGGGAAGGGGCCCUCAAACUGUUCCAGGCCUUUGCAUUUUUGCUGUUGAGUGUUCCACUGUGAUGACAAAGCUCAGAUUUUCAAGUAGGUGCAAGCACAAAGAGCACUCUCCCUGCUGGCAGCAUCUGGUAGCUCUUUCACUCUGAAAAGCAGCAGACUAGCUUUGCUUUUCCUCUUUCUACUGAAUGACAUAAAGGACAACAAGGAAUUAUUUUUGUUAAUGCAUGACCUCAUAUAAAAUGAGGGCAUAACCUCUUCCUCCAUGUGUCUUUUUAGAAGUAAUUAACAAAUCUUCUCUCCAUGACUUGCAGCUUUGAUGCAAUUCUUUCAGUGGCUCAGUGUGUGGGCUUUUGUAAAUUCUGUUUUUGUGCACCUCAAUUUACUCCAUACAUUGAAUACAAAGGAGCUGUAGAGCAUUGCCAAAAAUUGUGGAUUUCACUAAGUAUAUUCAACCCUUUCAGACAGGCAUAAAGCCUGGUGUGAGUUAAUAUAUUGUAAUUGCUAGAAUAAAUGUAUGUUUGAUAUAGUCAGGUUUUGUUAGCUGACACUGCUCAGUAGCACAUUUGGUUUGUUUGGUGACAUAAGGUUUGUGGUUUCAUGAAAGAUGCACAUCACUCAACAGUUUCAAACACAAGUCUUAGGAGAACAGCAUAUUUAACUCUGGACCUAAACUGAACUCAGAAAACCUCUCAAACAACAGUGGGAAUGGGUAUCUAGAAGAUUCAGAACCAUAACCAGCAAGCUUCUUGGGAGCUGAUUUACAUAUAAAUCAUGAUUAUUACUUUUGACCUCAUAUGCAGGAGCCAAAACACAAGAACUUGCUUUUAGAACAUCUGAACAAGAUUUCUAUAAAGGAACAAAUUUCAAACUCA